rnacentral:rRNA from 1 species
GAAACUAACAAGGAUUCCCCUAGUAACGGCGAGUGAAGCGGGAAGAGCACAAAUUUAAAAUCUACCUGGUUUUCAGGUCGAGUUGUAAUUUGAAGAAACGUUUUUGAUAUUUUGGGUUGGGAUAAAUCCUUUGGGAUGAGGUAUCAUGGAGGGUGAGAAUCCCGUGUAUACCAACCACAGGGAUGUUAUUUAAUACGUUUUCUAAGAGUCGAGUUGUUUGGGAAUGCAGCUCUAAAUAGGUGGUAAAUUUCACCUAAUGCUAAAUAUAAGCGAGAGACCGAUAGCGAACAAGUACCGUGAGGGAAAGAUGAAAAGAACUUUGAAAAGAGAGUUAAAUAGUACGUGAAAUUGUUGAAAGGGAAACGAUUGAAGUCAGUCAUGCCGGCGGGAAUCAACUUAGGGGAAACUUUAAGUGCACUUCACGUUUGGCAAGUCAGCGUCGAUUUUGAAUAUCAUAAAAUAAUUGGGGGAAGGUAGCUCUUUCGGGAGUGUUAUAGCCCUUGAUAGGUGUGAUAUUUGGGAUCGAGGAUUGCAACGGAUACCCUUUGGGCUAGCCGCCUGAUCUCUAACUGGUGUUGGGUUAUGGGCAGCAUGCUGAUCAUGAUUUAAUUACUGGUUAAAAGGUUAGAGCGAGUGUAAAUUCGUUAAGGACGCUG